CAGUCGCCACGGGAAUACCAGCAGCCCAAGUGGUGGUCGCGUUUAUUGGGCCUAAAGCGCUCGUAGCCUGGCCGGUAAGUUCCCCGUGAAAUCGGGUCGCCCAACGAUUCGGCUCGCGGGGAAUACUGUCGGUCUUGGGGCCGGGAGACGCCGAGGGUACUCCGGGGGUAGCGGUGAAAUGCUGUAAUCCUCGGGGGACUACCAGUGGCGAAGGCGCUCGGCGAUAACGGGCCUGACGGUGAGGGGCGAAAGCUGGGGGCGCGAACGGGAUUAGAUACCCGUGUAGUCCCUGUCUCUUAUA
rnacentral:rRNA from 1 species